UACGGGAGGCAGCAGUGGGGAAUCUUGCGCAAUGGGCGAAAGCCUGACGCAGCCAUGCCGCGUGAAUGAUGAAGGUCUUAGGAUUGUAAAAUUCUUUCACCGGGGACGAUAAUGACGGUACCCGGAGAAGAAGCCCCGGCUAACUUCGUGCCAGCAGCCGCGGUAAUACGAAGGGGCUAGCGUUGCUCGGAAUUACUGGGCGUAAAGGGAGCGUAGGCGGACAUUUAAGUCAGGGGUGAAAUCCCGGGGCUCAACCUCGGAAUUGCCUUUUGAUACUGGGUGUCUUGAGUAUGAGAGAGGUGUGUGGAACUCCGAGUGUAGAGGUGAAAUUCGUAGAUAUUCGGAAGAACACCAGUGGCGAAGGCGACACACUGGCUCAUUACCUGACGCUGAGGCUCGAAAGCGUGGGGAGCAAACAGGGAUUAGAUACCCGU
rnacentral:rRNA from 1 species